AUCACAGAAAUAAAUUACAUUUUAAAGGAUAUUAAAAUAGAAACCAUUAUUUUAUAUUAUAAUAACAUUUUGCAAGAUUACUGUAUUUUUCUGUAUUUUUGAUCAAAUAAAUGCAGCCUUGAUGAGCAGAAGAGACUUCUUUAAAAACAUCACAAGUCUCACUGAUCCAAACUCUUGAUUAGCGGUGUAUAUAUUUAAGUGCCAACUUGACGAGUGACGUGCGUGUCGGCUGCAGUUAGUAUAACUAAAUCAUCAUUUACUCAAACCUUUGUUCGGUUCCCAUCAUUCUUCAGAAUAUCUUCUUUUGUGUUGAACAGAAGAAAGAAACUCGCACGCGUCUGGAACAACACGAGGAGAGUAAACAAUGACAGAAUUUACUUUUUUGGGUAAACUGUCCCUUUAACUAAAUUUUCAGUAGCGUGACAGUAUUUCAAACUAAUUUUGCCAAAAAUAUCACUUGUCGUUCAGAUGAAGUGCGUGUGCAGAUCUGCUCUCUCAUAAUAGUGUCGAUUCGUUUCAGUGAAUUAAGGUCACCGCGAGGCAUUUUACGCCUUGAUUUUAUAACCAAACUUUUCAUUAACUGCUGCUGUUUAUAGCUAUUUUUCCUGGUAUUUAAAAUAACAUAGCUUACAUUUUAACCACACUACUGUUCACUAAUUCUUUUAUUCAUCAAGGCUGCGUUAAAUUGAUCAAAAGUGACAUUCACAAUGUCCAUUUCAAAAUAAAUGCUGAACUUUUAUUUUAUGAAUAUUAGAAUGAUUUCUGAAGAUCAUGUGACACUGAAGACUGGAGUAAUGAUGCUGAAAAUACAGCUGCGCAUCACAGAAAUAAAUUACAGUUUAACACAUAUUUACAGAGAAAACACUUAUUUUAAAUUAUAAUAAUAUUUCAGAAUUUUUACUGUAUUUUUAAUCAAAUAAAUGCAGCCUCGGUGAGCAGCAGAGACUUCACACCGAAUGCUAGUGUUUCUCUUCAUUCUGUUGCACUAAUGCUCAAACGCUCUCAGUGUCUAUCAGGAGAGUCACUGACUGUGAGCAUUGGUUUGUAAUGCAGAGCUCGUCUGCUGAAGGUCCCUGAUCACAGAUGCAUUCAGAAGCUCUGAAACAACAACAGAAAGAAACACCGAAACGGGACCAAAGCGAAUUAAAUGUGAGACUCCUGGCUCCUUUCGCCCCUCGAUGGCCUCCAGCGCGCUCUCACCUCAACAUCUCACACAGCACACACUAGAAAGUACAGAGUCCUUUAUUAAAACGCUUGUUUGCAGCAAUAAACCCUGUAGAAUGAAGCUACUAGAAGAUCAGCCGUGUGCUUCCCUUUGAGAAGGGCUUCAGCAGCCCAGCCCGUGAGAUUCAGUUCGUUUGGUUGAUCUUUUCCUUUAGUUUCAUAUGAUUCUUCUUCUGAUUGGUUUAGCGUUCGAUGACAGUCGUAGCUGCUGUGUAUGCCGUAGUCGUUUGAAAUUGUCAAGAUGUCCUAUUUUUCUACAUGACUGUGUUACUAAACUUUUGACUUGAGGUCUGAUUGUUUUAUAUACGAGUGUUUCACUUAUAGCAGUAUAUAGAUUAUAUAUAACUAUAUAUAAAUAUUAUUUUCUGUACAUGGUAUGAUUUGAGUCCAGGAGAGCUAGCUGAAGACAGAAUCCGCUCCGUAUGAUGAAUGUCUCCAGUCUCUCCGGUGCUAUCGAGGACUUCACUGCACUCCUGGAAGAUCUGUUUCGCUUCUGACGGCUGAUAACUUUCAUCACGAACACACACUUGACUCAGAAAAUGAGGGAUACUAGUGAUUAUGUUAUGCAUGUUAGUAAAAAUUGUUGCAGUUCGCUGCCACAACUUACAAUUUAGUGUUUGAAUAGCUUUCCUGGAUUUAACUUGAGAUGACUCGAAUUAAACUUAAUAUUUUAAAGGAAUAGUUCACCCUAAAAUGAGCAAGAGCUGGAAAUGUGGCCAUAUUUAGAUCAUCCGAGAUCAGGAUGAGUUUGUUUCUUCAUCAGAUUUGGAGAAAUUGCAUCACUUGUUCACUGCAAGUGAAUGGGUGCCGUCAGAAUGAGAGUCCAAACAGCUGAUAAAAACAUCAC
ensembl:lncRNA